AAACAUCGCCUCCUGAAAACAUAGGAGGUCCAGCCUGCCCAGUGACAUGUUAAACGGCCGCGGUACCCUAACCGUGCAAAGGUAGCGCAAUCACUUGUUCUUUAAAUGAGGACUAGUAUGAACGGCAUCACGAGGGUUACACUGUCUCCUACUUCUAAUCAGUGAAACUGAUCCCCCCGUGAAGAAGCGGGGAUAAAAUUGCAAGACGAGAAGACCCCAUGGAGCUUUAAACUCAGUAUUAACCGCCACAACCUACAUCAAACAAAACAGGCGGACCUAACAACUAGUUUUAGGUUGGGGUGACCACGGAGCACAACACAACCUCCAUGAUGACUCCUCUAAUCUUAGAGUGACAACUCAAAGAAUCAAAAAAUUGACAUUCAUUGACCCAAAUAAUUUUGAUCAACGAACCAAGUUACCCUGGGGAUAACAGCGCAAUCCAUUUCAAGAGCUCCUAUCGACAAAUGGGUUUACGACCUCGAUGUUGGAUCAGGGUAUCCAAGUGGUGCAGCCGCUACUAAAGGUUCGUUUGUUCAACGAUUGAAACCCUACGUGAUCUGA
rnacentral:rRNA from 1 species